rnacentral:lncRNA from 1 species
CUUUGCAUCAAAACAAUUGUUUAUAUUUUUAAUCAUAUACACCAUCUUUCAAUAUGCAAAAGCAAGAAAACCAAGUAAAUCAACCACCUCCUCUAGGCUAUCCCAUUGAAUUUACUCCAAAUGAGAACAAGAAGAAAAAGAUGAAAGGGUGGCCAAGAAGUAAGCCAAGAGGAGAAAGAGGGUUCUUGGAAGGAUGGUAAGUUAGUUAAGUAAAAUUAUUUGGUCUCAAAUCAUAAGAAACAUAUAUAGUAUAGUAUUUUCUAAUAAUUAAUUAUAUCAUGAACUAAUCUAACUAUUCUAAUUGUCUUUUUUUCUUUUGCAAAGCCUCUUUGCAUUGUGUUGCUGCUGGCUAUGUGAAGUUUGUUUUGACUAAAACCUUUGGGGGGGGGGGGGGGAAUAUGAUUCAAUCUAAAGGAAUCAACUUGUGUUUCUCUAUUCAACUAGUGAUGCAAUAUGCAAUAUGCACUAUGCUAUAUGUGAUUCUUCACUUUAUAAAUUAUGUAACCAAAUUAUGUUGUUAUAUUUUGAGACUUUGUAUUGAUGAAGUUUAUAUAUAUCUUUUCUUGUUUAAUGAAUAAUAUAAUUCUUGUAUUCCUCCUCCCAUAUCUCUCUCUCUCUCUCUCCACAAAUACACUGACGGAAAUUGAAUUUUUAAAAUCUGAAGAAAUAAACACACUAACUAAUUGAAGAAAUUUGACAUGUAUUAUAUAUACAUAAAAAAAUAUUAUAACCAUAAAUAAAUAAUUUAAUUUUUCACUGAAUGGGAUUCGAAAGACCCCCGGCCAUAAGGUGCACAUGCACAUAUGUGAC